UAGCUUGUAUGACCCAAAUC
rnacentral:piRNA from 1 species